GGGCUCUUGGCACAGGGGUAGCGCGCACGCUUCGCAUGAUCAUAUAAGACUCAAACAAAUUGUCCUGCGUGAGGUCGUGGGUUCAAUUCCCACAGUGUCCA